rnacentral:rRNA from 1 species
UACAGAGGUCCCAAGCGUUGUUCGGAUUCACUGGGCGUAAAGGGUGCGUAGGCGGUCGGGUAAGUCUAACGUGAAAUCUUCAAGCUCAACUUGGAAACUGCGUCGGAUACUAUUCGGCUAGAGGAAUGGAGGGGAGACUGGAAUACUUGGUGUAGCAGUGAAAUGCGUAGAUAUCAAGUGGAACACCAGUGGCGAAGGCGAGUCUCUGGACAUUUCCUGACGCUGAGGCACGAAAGCCAGGGGAGCAAACGGG